rnacentral:lncRNA from 13 species
AAUCCCAGAACCACACGGGGGGACCUAGUGAAUGACCUGCAGAGAGCUGGGACCAAAGUAACAAAGCCUACCAUCAGUAACACACUACGCCGCCAGGGACUCAAAUCCUGCAGUGCCAGACGUGUCCCCCUGCUUAAGCCAGUACAUGUCCAGGCCCGUCUGAAGUUUGCUAGAGAGCAUUUGGAUGAUCCAGAAGAAGAUUGGGAGAAUGUCAUAUGGUCAGAUGAAACCAAAAUAUAACUAGGGCGUGGAAGUCCGACGAGCAGGCUUAGGCACCCCUGGUUCCAUCAGCUGCGGCCUCCGGGUCCGACGUCACCCACAAAACAAAAAGAACUCCCCGAUGCCUCUUGUAGUGGUGUCCGCAUUCUGUAAGGGAGCGACGCAGGAGAUGAGAAGCAGGUACAGGGAGUGAAGGUUUAUUAGCUGACGGACAUGAACCGGAAGAGCGCCNNNNNNNNNNGGGGGGGGGGGUGAGCGGGUCUGAAUACUUUUUGCAAGGCGCUAUAUGUACCGAUAAUCUGCUAAAUGAAUGUAUAUUGAAUAGUUUCUAGUUGAAGCAGGUCAGAUGAAUUCCCUCAUCCUAUGGUCUCCAGUUUACCGACUGGGCUGUGUAUCAAGUGGCAAAAGUUUUUCUUUAACUCUAUCUUAAGACAAUCUUUUUCUCAUUCUUUUGAUUCAAAGUUUAUAUGUUUUCUGCCAUUUCAUUAAUCCCUUUAAUCAUCUAUUUAAUAUUCCACAGCACAAUGUAACUACUGAUUGAUUGAUUGAUUGGUUAAUUUGGGAAUAAUGCUCUGAGCACAACCCAGGGAAUAACACAAAUUUCCCUUGUCUCCAAGGUGGUCCCCGAUGGAUUACACACAAAACAGACAAAACACAAGAAAACAACAGUAAUCCCUACAGUACAAAACAGCCAAGUAGCUGUCAGGGAAAUGGAGGUGAAUGCAUUGAAGGAGGUGGUUCAGAGAAAUUGUAUUUUGACACAGAUGCAAAGAUCAAUUUCCUAUCCCUGACCAUUCUGGGCCUUGAGAAUUCUGUUCCUGAAGACCAUCGUUUUCAACGUGCUGAUGACUCUUCGACUGUGGAUGAGUUAGAGUGAUUUCAUAGUUGCGCAGUGUCUCUUUACAACUCAAUCUGCAAGGCAUAACAUGGUUUUGUGAUUGCAUAUUUUCAUGGAAAGGUAUAUUGCGAACAAGACAAUGCCUUGUAGAUGUGUAUUUGUAUGUCAUGCGUUAAGAUGUUUGUUUAUUUUCUAUUUUCAGAAGAUAUACAUCAGUCCCUCAAAGACAACACAAUAAAUGUUUCCCAGAAGAACUAUUGAGUUGACUACUGACCACGUCUCAUCAUGCUUUGCCAGAAUAAAAUACAAAUAUUGAUGAACUGUAAAUACUUCAGUCAAUUGCAUUGUAAUUACAUUCUGGAUGUUUGAACUGGAUUUUGGACUGCCAACUAAAUGACUGUCCUCACAGACACAUAUUGGUAGAAACAAAGAAUCUGAAGCAUUUUAAUAAAUAUUCAUGAAAUAAAUUAAUUAUGUGGAAUAUUUUUUCUCCUGAAGUCUUCAAAUCUUACUCAAGUCUGUCUGCUCCCUCACACAAAGAAGAAAGUGAAAAAAUACAUCAUUUUACAUUCUAACUGUUAUACCUGUUUGUGGAACUUUGUGUGGGUGGCUGCCUAGAAUCAAGUACAUGUGAUCUACAGUAAACAUAUUCAUCUCAAUCAUUCAUCACUCAGUCAUAAGUCUAAAGCAAAUUAUGUGCUGAGGGCAAUUAAAACUGUCUGAG